CUUUAUCCCAUCUUUCAUUACUGCUCAGAAAACAACUCUAUUUUCUCUUCUUCAUCCCCGACAACACCCCAUCAAUUGUCAAACCUUAACUCUGCCUAUCUCAUCGACAACCAAAUCCCAGCAAGCUUCAUGUCAAAUCUAUCAAACUCAUACCUCUAUCACUACUUUUACUCUUUCAGACUAGUUUCUUAUCUUUUCUAUUAUCAUUUCAGUCAUAACCCUAGGCUUUGACUCAUACAAAUAGGGCAAGCUACGAAUUUGAUUUUGUUACUCUCUGCAAACUUCAGCAACAGCAGCGCGCAAUCGACGGAAAUAGGGUGGAUGUGAUGAUUAAGCAAAUGAAUGACAAUUAGGCCUGAAUUCAAACAACAACAACAUCAGUCAAUUGGAUGAGGAUAAGAGCAGUGGCGGUGCAUGAAUGAUGAGUCUUACAAAGUGUGCUCUCAUGUGCUAGGGAGACCACUACAAUCGGCUACCGUCAGAUCGGUUGUGCUUAAUCUAUGCCUUCCUGCGCCCGUUGACGGAGGUGAUAGAGAAUCCACUAAUAUAUUCAAGGAAAAAAGAAAGAGCCGAGGACAUAUAUCAGACUUGUUGGUUGUUUCUCAGUUUCAUAAUGGAGGUAAGUCUCAUACCACUUUAAGCUGAAAUCAUCUGGUUUCUAUAAGGCCUGAAUGGUUUUGAUAUUUGAUAUGCAAAAAUGCUUCAUUUCUGUUAACAACUGUGAGCAUACCACUCAAUCGUUAGUCAAACACAUAUUAAUUGUUAAAUUCAAAUACAGACCAUUGUGGACAGGUAGACAAUCUUAAGCAAGUUCUUUGAGAUUGGGAUAAGCUUGGUCUUAGUGACGAUAUAUACAUCUUUUUGGUGGCAUAUCUGAACUGGCAAUAGGCGAACCAAUUCUAAGAAUAGCCAAAAGCACCUGUUUUUUAUCAUUUUGCAUGCAUCAUUCUGUUUAGGAUUUUAUUAGUUGCAUUUAGGAGACCACUCGUUUCAUUUUAUUUUUAUUUUUUUUUUAAAAAGAAAAAAGAAAUGUCUGGAUUUUGGAUUGGUGUUAGGGAUGAGAAAUCAUCGCAUAAAUCGAUUAGAGAACUUGCAAAUGAGCAUGCUUCACAUUAUGAGAAUCCAGUAGACCAUGAUGUCAAUAACUAUAGGGAAUAUUGCCAACCUUUUCAAGGUUGUGAUUUGCAUUACACAGGCCCCAAUGACUAUUCACACAUGUACGAAUCACCACAAUGGGAAGCUGAACACUUUUGUACUCCCCUGAGCCCUUGUAUGCAAUCUGUGAUGGAAAAUCUCAGACUCAUUGAACAAAAUAAUGCCAGAUUUGAAUUGCAAGCAUUGCAUGAUCAUCCAUAUAGCAACACAUAUGAAUUUCCCUUCGGUAGUGAACCUCAUGCACAACCAUGUACUGAAUAUACAUAUGAAGCGAGGAUACACACUAUUAAAGACUCCCCUUCCAUUGAACAACUUAAUAUGGUAUUAAAGAUGAAUCUGAUUCAUUUACAAAAUGUAGGAAGGGAGGAAUUUCAACAUGAAAUGUUUGUUUGUCCUAAUGAAAUAAAUUGUCAAAAUAGUGUGUCUAGUCUUACUCGUGCAACUGAUAUUGCAGAUGAACCUGUUUUAGAAACAAAUGAAUGGACUGGAAAUACUAUGAUUUUUGAUGGGAUAAACUCAUGUUACGAUGAUGAUAAUGAUAAUGAUUUAGAAUAAUAUGUCCAUUCUGAAAAUGUUGUUAUGGAAUCUUUUGUUUCUGAGACAUUUGGAUCCAUUGAUGUGACUUCGAAAAAUGAUGUCUCUUCUGAUUUUCUUGUUCGUAACACUGAAAUAUUGGAUGAUGUUGAUUCUGAAUUGGGGCUUGUACAAUUGUUCUGUGAAGGUGAGCCUGAUACACCUGUUGUGUAUGACGUAGGAAAGGUUGAUUUGUAUGUAGACACCAAUGAUCCCAUGCAUGAAAAUAAAUUUGAUGUGUCUGAUUCCCUACCUAGGCCGCAAUAUAUUGCUUCUUUUGAUGCUGAUUUGGAUACUUUGGAUAACCAUGAUUCUGAACUGGGGCUUGUUGAUUUGUGCAAUGAAUGUAAGCAUACGACUGCACUCGUAGAUGACUUAGGAGAUGUUAAUGUGAUUGAUAAUAAUGGUACUCUUGAUAUCAUACAUGUGAGCGACGUAGAUGUACCUACUUUCCUGCCUAAUUCAAAAUCUGAUAUUCUUCCAUCCAACCUAGGUUUGGUUUGUCACAAAAUUUUUAAACCAACUAUUCUGAGAGUUCCUAAUCUAGGCCUGGAACUGUGUGCUUCACAAGUCCUUUUGGACCAUUUUAUAGCUAAAUAUAGUAUCUCUGAAGAUCCACAUUUGGAAUGCAUUGACAUGUGUACCCGUUCCUAGGAAAGUCCACUUUGAAUUAGAUCUUGUGCAUGCAACACCUCCAAAAUUGCAAGAUUUUGUGCUCAAAAACACACCUGUUCACAACUUUAGGUUUGAGGGUAACUCGUUUACAUAUGCAAUCUUACUUGCACUCUCAUGUUAUAAUUGUGCAAGGCUGUUGAUGUCUCUGCAUGUCUUCUUUUGGGUUGAUCCUCAACUCUUUAGGUUGUAUGUGUAUGGUGAAGUUUUCUUGUAUAUAAUCCAGUGGGUAAUGUUUCAGUUGAAUCUUAUGUUUCUUUUGUAUAUAUUGUGCUAAUCCAAUGUGAUCUCAGCUGAAAAAUGUUGGAUUCUAGCCGUGAAUAAUGGAGUUCGGUUCUUUCUUUCGUCAAAUCUGGUAAUCUCUUUCCUUUUUCUCAAACUCAUCAACAUCUUUCUCCUGGUAUGUUACUGUUAUAAAUCCGUCUAUCAUUAGAAACAUUGAGGACAAUGUUUAGUUUAGGUUUGGGGGUGAAAAUUAGAUACCAUAUGGUUGUCACGAUGCUAUCAUUUUAACUGAACUCUAUCAUCUUUAAAAAAUAAAAAAAUGAAAAAUGGAGCUUAUUUACCUUGAAUUGUGAUACCUGUGCAUGUAUGAUAUUUUAGGAUUCUUAGUCUAGAUGAUGAGGCACCCCUGAUUCUAGCACAAUUCACAUGUGAUAUAGAAAAUUUGCACAUGCACGAUCAACCAAGCGUGUAUAGCAUCGGUGUUUCAUAGGUUAAGUAGGCUGCCAAUCAUCUAGAAUACUGAAUGAGACUUGACUAGCUUGUUCUUUGGUUGGCUGGGAUAGAAGUUGGAGGAUACGUUAAGAAAAGCAACCAUUGAAUUUGACCGGGUGCAUCGAAAAGGGAUGCCUCUUACUAAAAGUGUCAUGUAAUGUAUUUUUGAGAUUUUGUGUAAAGUUGUUGCGUCAUCUUGUGUUUGUAUCUCUUAUUAUUGCAAAGUCAGAUAAAAAUUUAGUUGAAAAGUCAGAUGAAAAUUCAAUUUCAAAAAAAAAAAAUCAGUUGAAAAAAAAAUCAGAAAAAGAAAAGAAAAAUAUCCAUUAUCUGUUGUUAUGUCUAUUUCAAUAAGAAAAGCUAAUGUUUCUCUCUUGCCUCGAAAUGAGAGAGUAGUGAAUGUAUAUAUGCAGUCAAUGUGUUAUGUGUUGUAAAUAGUCUUGUAAUAUGCAAGGAGGGUGUAGCCAUCGAUGUACGAUGCGGGUAAGCUGAAAUAUCACCAACUCAUCAGGUGAACAUUCACAAUUCUCGUAAAGCCGGACAACUAGCUUGUCUUUGAAUUCAGUUCUUAGCAUAAAACCUAUCUCCUAGUAAUUGGCAGUCAUAACUUCCUAGAGUAAUCAUUCUCUAUACAUGUCUAAGGCAGAUAUACUUUACACUCUUAUCACAUGGCCUUAGUUGUUUCAGUGCUAGAAUUGUGCCUUUGAAAGCUAGAUUGACGUAUCCAAUUGCUGUGAGCUAAAAAUGAAUGCAUGUAUCACUUUCAUGGAAUCUGAGCUUACAUUUUGUCCUAGAACUUUUUGGGUACAUUUUGACCAGCGUCGGUGGCGUAGGUAGACCUUUCUUUUGGUUUUGUGUUUUAUUUGAGGACGAGCAAAAGGCAGGUUUGGGGGUAUUUGAUGGACACCUAAUAUUGCAUACAUUCUUAUCAUUUUGUAGGUGUUUAUGGUAUUUUAUUGCACUAAUUGCUUUAGUUAUGCCAAAUUAUGUAUUUUGUAGCUCUUGUUCGUUGCAAGUAAAAUGUGUGGCAGUUGUCCAGAUUUUUGUUUGGUAAUGCUAGGGGAAUGAAAAGAAUGGUUUGAACAUGUGCUAUGAUGGAAGUGGAUCUACAAUGCCCUGUCAAGCUAGAUUUCAAGUCGUCUUAAAGGAGAUGCGUGUAUGGAGAAUACAGCCAGGAUGCCGGCAGAUUUAUGAAGUUAUUAACAUUGCUAGUGAACAAGAAGUGCAAGAAGAAGAAACUAAUGGGCCAUAAUUCAAGUGAUACCCAUGUUGAGAGUUAAAGAAAAGAAGCCUAGCCCAAGUUCCAUUCUCAUAUACUAAAGACAGACCCUUAAUCCAAACAACACCCAAACAGACCCUGAUGGGAUUUUUAAUUAUUUGUUGUGGUAAUAAAGAUUCGAACUCUAAGACUUGUGAAGACUAAUUUUAAAGGUUUAAAUAAAAUAAUAAAUAAAAGAGAGAUUUACUGGGA